UUAUUAUACGCUUAAGGUGGUAUGGGAGUCUAAAAUAAAAAUGAUAGAAAUUGUUCAUACUUUGCCAAAACGUAGUAUCUAUUGAUAUAUGUUGAAAAAUAUAAUCAAAAUGAUAGGUCACCGCGCAUUUUCUCAAGCUACAGGACGUGACAAAAUGACACAUUUUGUAUGGAUUAUACAGGAAAAAAACACCAUUAUGUGAUUAGAAACUAAACAAAAUGAUAGAAUAGUUAAAUACCUAAAGAAAAGAUAGCUUUCAGACAGUGCUUUGAGAAUAUCAAAAGAAAAGAUAGGGUCACCGUACGUUUUUUCCGGCGAAAAUACAAAAUAGGAAAAUUCCAUGUAGAAUCCUUCAGAAAAUGCACUGUUUUAGAGUUACCUCCCCUUAAAAUGCCAAUUUAAAAAAAAUAAAAAAACGACCAAAAAUAAUCAACAUUUGCAAAAAAAUUAAUAUUUAUAACUUAUAUUCUAAUAAAUUUGUUCUUUUAAAUGAAAAUUCACAUUAAAUAUCUGCAUUCCUGCAUCAAAUUUUGCUAACUUGAUAGAAAAUCUUGACCUUUGG
rnacentral:lncRNA from 1 species